UACGGGGGGAGCAAGCGUUGUUCGGAUUUACUGGGCGUAAAGGGCGCGUAGGCGGCCACCGCAAGUCGACUGUGAAAUCUCCGGGCUUAACCCGGAAAGGUCAAUCGAUACUGCAGGGCUAGAGUGCGGAAGGGGCAACUGGAAUUCUCGGUGUAGCGGUGAAAUGCGUAGAUAUCUGGAGGAACACCGGUGGCGAAGGCGGCAUCCUGGACCGGUAUUGACGCUGAUGCGCGAAAGCCAGGGGAGCAAACGGG
rnacentral:rRNA from 1 species